CUCUGUUUCUGGAAAGAAACAGAGAGAGCGGUGGGGCGUGAGGAGAAGAAGGAGAGUGGUUGAAGAAAAGAAGAAGAAGAGGGAAAAGAAGAGAGGAGGAAGAAGAGAGGAAGAAGAGGGAGAAGAGAAGAAGAUGAAGAAGAAGAAGAAGAGGAGGUGGCUGCAGCGAGGGCUGCAGCGAGAAGCUGUGGGGCGUGGGGAGAAGAAGAGAGGAAGAAGAGGGAGAAGAGAAGAAGAAGAAGAAGAAGCAGAAGAAGAAGAAGAAGAAGAAGAAGAGAGGAUGAUAGCUGCGGCAAGGCUGCAGCGAGGAGGUGUGUGGGGUUGGGGAGGAAAAGGGAAGAGGAGAAGAAAAGAAGGAGAAGAAGAGGGAAAAGAGAGGGAAGAGGGAGAGGAGCGAGAGGUGGCAGCAGCUAGGGCUGCAGCACCUCUGUUUCCUGCAGGUGGAAACAGAGGAGAGGUGGGGCGUUCGAAGAGGAGAAGAAGAAGAAGAAGGAAGAGAAGAGGAAGAGGAAGCAGGAGAAGAGGUUGUGAUACCUCUGUUUCCUGCAGAGGAAACAGAGGAGAGGGUGUGUGUGACGUCGGGGAGAAGAAGGGGAGGAAGAAGAAGAAGAGAAGAAGAAGAAAGGAAGGAGAGGAAGAAGAUAAGGGAAAGGAGGAGCUGCGGCUGCGGCGGUGGCAGCUGCAGCUAGAAGAGAAGGAGAGGAAGAGAUGGUGAGGAAGAAGAGAAGAAGUAGAAGUGGGUGAAGAGGCGGCACCUCUGUUUCCUGCAGGAGGAAACAGAGGAAAGGAAGUGCUGUUCGUCGGGGAGAAGAAGGGGGCUGCAGCUGCGGCGAUGGCAGCUGCAGCUGGAAGAGAAGAAGAAGAGGAAGAUGAGCAGGGGAGGAGGGAGAGGUUGCGGCCGUGGCUGCGGCCGCGACUGCAGCAGUUGCAGCGGGGAGAGAAGAAGAAGAAAGGAAGGAGAAGGAAGAGGAGAAGGGAAAGAAGUAGCUGCGGCUGCGGUUGUGGCAGCUGCAGCUGUGGCAGGGAAAGAGGAAGAGAAAAAGGAAAGGAAGAAGAAGAGAAAGGGAAGGAGAGGAAGAAGAGAGGAAGAGGAGAAGGGGCUGCGGCUGCGGCGAUGGCAGCUGCAGCUGUGGCUGGGAAAGAAGAGAAGGAAAGGAAGAAGAAGAGAAAGGGAAGGAGAGGAAGAAGAGAGGAAGAGGAGAAGGGGUGGCAGCUGCAGCUGGAAGAGGAGGAGGAAAUAGAGCAGGGGAGGAAGAAGAGGCUGCGAGUGUGGUGGCUGCGGCCGUGGCUGCGACUCCGGCUGCGGCUGCGACGUUGGCUGCGGUAGCUGCUGUAGCGGUGGUGGCUGCAGUAGCUGCAGUAGCUGCUUUUGGGAAAGAGAAAGAGUAGGAACGAGAGAAGGGAGGAAGGAAAUAGUGCAGUGGAAGGGGGCUGCGGUUGUGACCGUAGUUGCGAUUGUGGCAGCGGCAGCGGCGGCGGCUGUGGCAGCUGCGUUUGGGAAAGAAAAAGAAGGAAUGAGAGUAAGAGAGAGAGCAGGUGACUGUGCCUCGAUGUUCGACACGUGAUGUAGUUACGAAGAAAGGAAGAAAACGGGAGCACAAAACGAAACAGAGAGAGGACACGGAGGAAAAGUAGAAAGAUUGGACUGGCAACUUCCUUGGAUAUUCAGAUCAAAAUAUUUGAAAGGUCAGCUUGUCACUCUUCGAGAUGUUUGAUUUGGGCUGAGGCAGUGGAUAGCUAUUCAGAAUUAUGGGCAAGUCCUGUUGGUUGUUAUGCUAUUGUUGUAUAAGCAUAUUUUGUAUGUAAUGAAUUGUUCUGAUGAUCGAAAUGGAUGUACUGUGUAAAAGUGUUAGAAGAUCUCUCUUAUUUGGAAUUUCGGAAUGUUAAGUCUAAUUUAUGACGAUAUGAACUUGUGGUGAAUAGUUGGAGUUCUGAUUGUAUAAUUUAUUUAGCUUGUGGAUUUAUAAAUGUUGUUCAUGUUUGUCAAGUUGGCUUGGGUUGCCAUAAAUGUGAAUUAUCGAGUGAUGUGAUAUAUGAUUAUAAACUGCACAGGUUUUAUGGAUGUGAAUAUGAAUAGAAUGUUUUCAGUGUCCUCAAACGUUAGUUUGGAUCCUGGAUUGGUUUGUGACGAAAAUUUUAAAAAUCAUGGAUAUUUUGAGGGGCGUGACAGAGGUGGUAUCAGAGCAUUGUUUGAGGAUUACUGAAAUAUUUGAUAUGUUGACGUGCAAAAUAUAUUGAGGUCUAAUGAACUAUAGUGAUUGGUGGAAAUUUUCUUUGCUGCAUUUUAGGAAUCUGGGAUGAUGAGGACAUUUGGUCCUCCUAUAUCAUUUGUUUCUGAUUAAUUAAGGGGGAUGAAAGGAUUGAUUGGGGAUAUUGAUUCAGAGUGGCGCAGUAGAAGCAUGAUGAACCUAAUUUCAUUGGUGGUAGAAAAAUGGAUGAUGCAAAUGGAGAAGAUAUUUGAUAUACAAAAUUGUUCUGAUACUCGAAAGAUUUCUUUUGCCACGUUAUAUUGGAAGUAAAGACUUAUUAUUGACGGCAACAAUGAAAAGAAUUUUUGAAGAUCAAUGGCAAGAAUGACAAGAACAAGUUUACCAAUAAAAAUAUGAUUGGAAAUGAAUCAGUAAGUAACAACAAGAGAGUCAAGACAUUUGGAUUUGAAAUGGGAAGUCACCACAAAAGACUCAAUCAGGUGUGAACUGCAAGUUAAAUUAUGAAACAAGUUUAUGUUUGUGCGUGACUAGAGCCUAUUUUGCUUAUGGAAAGUUUGAUCAUAAAAUAAAAGUUUGCCCUUUGAACAAGAAGAAAGAGUCACUGCCUCCUAAAUCAUCAGCCCAUGUCAGAGUGUAUGCUAUCACUGAAUAUGAUUCUAAGACUUCUGAAUUAGUGGUCGAAGGUAUUAUGUAUGUUUAUGAAAGAAUGCAAAUAUUUGUUUGAACAUGGGUUCUAUCUACGAUUUGAUUCGUAACAUAUUGCCUAUCACUUGGGUAUUCAACCUAGACCACUGUAUUAUGUGAUAUAUGUAAGUACAAUCAUUGGAUAUUCUUUGAUAACGAACUUGAAUCUGGUCCUCUUGUCUGAUUUUUGUUGGAGAACUUGAACUUUUGCUGAUUUAGUUCUCCUAGAGAUUUGGAGUUAUGAUAUUAUACUUGGUAUGCAUUGGCUAUCUUCUUAUCAUACCAGUAUGGAUUGGUAUAUAACAAAUGAUUACUUUUUGCAUAUUUGAUCAGCCGAUCUUUUAUUUUGAGAGUAUUGGACAUUAUUUAUCUCCUUGCCUAAUGUAUCCCAGGAUGAGUUGCCUGGAUUACCUCCAAAUGUGAUUUUGCUUUUGAUUUGGUCCUUGGGACAAUCCCUAUAUCUAAGCCUCUCUGCAGAAUGAUAUCAUUUGAGUAAGUGGAAUUAGAAAAACAACUACAAGGAUUAUUAAAUGAGGAUUUUAUUUGGCUUAAUAUUUUAUCAUGGGGUGCUCUGGUGUUAGUUAAAAAGAUGGAUGGAACAUGGAGGCUUUGUAUUGAUUAUGGAUAGUUGAAUCAGGUGAUCAUCAAAAACGAGUAUUUUCUGAAGUAACGAUUUGCUUGAUUAAUUACAAGUGCGCAAGUAUUUUUGAAAGAUUGAUUGAAGGUCGGGUUUACCAUCUAUUGAGAAUCAAGAAGGAGAAUAUUUCGGUCACUCUUGAAAAAUUGUGUAAUUGUAUUGAAUUGAUGAAAUUAUUUAAGAGUAGGAGGAGGAAAUAAAGAAAUCAUAAUCCUCAUCUUUUCAUCGAUUGAGCUAUGACCAAUUUAGAGGACUAAAUUUUCUUUUAAGGGGGGGAGAGUGUAAUAUCCCCCACUUUUAAAAAUGUAUUAAUAAGGAUUUAUAUGUAAAUUGGGGGACCUAUAUGUAAAUAUAGAAAUUACAAGGACUAAACUGCUAAGUUGCAAAAAGAAAAAAAAAAGAAAAGGAAAAACCGAAAAUUCGGUAUUAUCCCACCGCCUCCCAUGCACUCUGUUUCUUUCCAGAAACAGAGAGAGCGGUGGGGCGUGAGGAGAAGAAGGAGAGUUGUUGAAGAAAAGAAGAAGAAGAGGGAAAAGAAGAGAGGAGGAAGAAGAGAGGAAGAAGAGGGAGAAGAGAAGAAGAUGAAGAAGAAGAAGAAGAGGAGGUGGCUGCAGCGAGGGCUGCAGCGAGAAGCUGUGGGGCGUGGGGAGAAGAAGAGAGGAAGAAGAGGGAGAAGAGAAGAAGAAGAAGAAGAAGCAGAAGAAGAAGAAGAAGAAGAAGAAGAAGAAGAAGAAGAAGAAGAAGAAAAAGAGAGGAUGAUAGCUGCGGCAAGGCUGCAGCGAGGAGGUGUGUGGGGUUGGGGAGGAAAAGGGAAGAGGAGAAGAAAAGAAGGAGAAGAAGAGGGAAAAGAGAGGGAAGAGGGAGAGGAGCGAGAGGUGGCAGCAGCUAGGGCUGCAGCACCUCUGUUUCCUGCAGGUGGAAACAGAGGAGAGGUGGGGCGUUCGAAGAGGAGAAGAAGAAGAAGAAGGAAGAGAAGAGGAAGAGGAAGCAGGAGAAGAGGUUGUGAUACCUCUGUUUCCUGCAGAGGAAACAGAGGAGAGGGUGUGUGUGACGUCGGGGAGAAGAAGGGGAGGAAGAAGAAGAAGAGAAGAAGAAGAAAGGAAGGAGAGGAAGAAGAUAAGGGAAAGGAGGAGCUGCGGCUGCGGCGGUGGCAGCUGCAGCUAGAAGAGAAGGAGAGGAAGAGAUGGUGAGGAAGAAGAGAAGAAGUAGAAGUGGGUGAAGAGGCGGCACCUCUGUUUCCUGCAGGAGGAAACAGAGGAAAGGAGGUGCUGUUCGUCGGGGAGAAGAAGGGGGCUGCAGCUGCGGCGAUGGCAGCUGCAGCUGGAAGAGAAGAAGAAGAGGAAGAUGAGCAGGGGAGGAGGGAGAGGUUGCGGCCGUGGCUGCGGCCGCGACUGCAGCAGUUGCAGCGGGGAGAGAAGAAGAAGAAAGGAAGGAGAAGGAAGAGGAGAAGGGAAAGAAGUAGCUGCGGCUGCGGUUGUGGCAGCUGCAGCUGUGGCAGGGAAAGAGGAAGAGAAAAAGGAAAGGAAGAAGAAGAGAAAGGGAAGGAGAGGAAGAAGAGAGGAAGAGGAGAAGGGGCCGGCUGCGGCGAUGGCAGCUGCAGUUGUGGCUGGGAAAGAAGAGAAGGAAAGGAAGAAGAAGAGAAAGGGAAGGAGAGGAAGAAGAGAGGAAGAGGAGAAGGGGUGGCAGCUGCGGCAGUGGCAGCUGCAGCUGGAAGAGGAGGAGGAAAUAGAGCAUGGGAGGAAGAAGAGGCUGCGAGUGUGGUGGCUGCGGCCGUGGCUGCGACUCCGGCUGCGGCUGCGACGUUGGCUGCGGUAGCUGCGGCAGCGGUGGUGGCUGCAGUAGCUGCAGUAGCUGCUUUUGGGAAAGAGAAAGAGUAGGAACGAGAGAAGGGAAGAAGGAAAUAGUGCAGUGGAAGGGGGCUGCGGUUGUGACCGCAGUUGCGAUUGUGGCAGCGGCAGCGGCGGCGGCUGUGGCAGCUGCGUUUGGGAAAGAAAAAGAAGGAAUGAGAGUAAGAGAGAGAGCAGGUGACUGUGCCUCGAUGUUCGACACGUGAUGUAGUUACGAAGAAAGGAAGAAAACGGGAGCACAAAACGAAACAGAGAGAGGACACGGAGGAAAAGUAGAAAGAUUGGACUGGCACCUUCCUUGGAUAUUCAGAUCAAAAUAUUUGAAAGGUCAGCUUGUCACUCUUCGAGAUGUUUGAUUUGGGCUGAGGCAGUGGAUAGCUAUUCAGAAUUAUGGGCAAGUCCUGUUGGUUGUUAUGCUAUUGUUGUAUAAGCAUAUUUUGUAUGUAAUGAAUUGUUCUGAUGAUCGAAAUGGAUGUACUGUGUAAAAGUGUUAGAAGAUCUCUCUUAUUUGGAAUUUCGGAAUGUUAAGUCUAAUUUAUGACGAUAUGAACUUGUGGUGAAUAGUUGGAGUUCUGAUUGUAUAAUUUAUUUAGCUUGUGGAUUUAUAAAUGUUGUUCAUGUUUGUCAA